GUGAGUAACACGUGGGUGAUCUGCCCUGCACUUCGGGAUAAGCCUGGGAAACUGGGUCUAAUACCGGAUAGGAACCGUCUUUAGUGUGGUGGUUGGAAAGUUUUUCGGUGCAAGAUGAGCUCGCGGCCUAUCAGCUUGUUGGUGGGGUAAUGGCCUACCAAGGCGUCGACGGGUAGCCGGCCUGAGAGGGUGUACGGCCACAUUGGGACUGAGAUACGGCCCAG
rnacentral:rRNA from 1 species